rnacentral:rRNA from 1 species
AUAAACCGGAGGAAGGUGGGGAGUGACGUCAAGUCAGCAUGGCCUUUAUAUCCUGGGCUACACACACGCUACAAUGGGAAGGGACAAUAGGUUGCGAAGCCGCGAGGCGGAGCCAAUCCAGCAAAACUUCCCUCAGUUCAGAUUGCAGGCUGCAACUCGCCUGCAUGAAGUUGGAGUUGCUAGUAAACGCAGGUCAGCCAUACUGCGUUGAAUACGUUCCCGGGGCUU